CAGCCGCCACGGGAAUGCGAAGGGGGCUAGCGUUGUUCGGAAUUACUGGGCGUAAAGGGCACGCAGGCGGUUUCUUAAGUCUGAUGUGAAAGCCCCCGGCUCAACCGGGGAGGGUCAUUGGAAACUGGGAAACUUGAGUGCAGAAGAGGAGAGUGGAAUUCCUAGUGUAGCGGUGAAAUGCGUAGAGAUUAGGAGGAACACCAGUGGCGAAGGCGGCUUUUUGGCCUGUAACUGACACUGAGGCGCGAAAGCGUGGGGAGCGAACGGGAUUAGAUACCCCUGUAGUCCCUGUCUCUUAUAC
rnacentral:rRNA from 1 species